UCCCAGGUAGCUCAAAUGGUAAAGAAUCUGCCUGUGAUGCAGGAGACCUGGGUUCAAUCCCUGGGUUGAGAA
rfam:TPA: Bos taurus chromosome X, whole genome shotgun sequence.